rnacentral:lncRNA from 1 species
GUAGGCGUCCUCUUCCACUAUAACUGGUUUAUCCUGCUCGAGAAGGGUUACUUAAAAGCCAAUGAUUGAACCCAAGGUGGAACGAGACAACUGGAGGCUGGAAUCUCGCCACAUAAGAAACUUUCUCUUCUCCAAACUCUGUUUAUUUUUAUAUUCUUCAUUUCAAUUUUCACUAUUUAUUUAAUUUCGCAAUUUCAAUUUACUUUAAAUUCUAUUUUUACUUUUCC